rnacentral:tRNA from 1 species
CGUGGUGGUGCGGGACGGCCGCCUGCGCUGGCCCGUGCCCGGCGAGAUCCAGGAGCUGGUGGAUCUCGUCAUCCACCGCGUC